CUUUUAUUUUAUUUUAUUUUAUUUUAUCCUUUUUGGGAGUUCAGCUAGAAUACUUUUAAAAGCACCAAGAGAGUGAUGUUUUUGAGUUUUUAAUCUUUGAAUAAAAAGAUGUAGGGUUGGGAUGAUGGUAGUAGGCGGUGGUUGGUGGAAUAGUGUUUGAUCCAAGGACUAUUAGUAAUUAAGAAGUAGAUCCAAAGGGUAGAAACUUAGAAGCACCAAGGGGUUGGUGCUUCCAAAAGCAUUCUAGCUCAAUU
rnacentral:lncRNA from 1 species